UCGUCAAGCUUCUGCAUUGUGACUGGACAUGUCAGAUUACCAGCGGCAAGCCAUUUUUGAAUGCUCGACCUGUCAUAGGUUAGGCCUGUGCAUAGAGUCACAGGAUCUUUGAACAGCUCCAGACUAAUUGGGCAUAUAAACAGCUCAGGUAUGUUCAUCAUUUCAAAUCAAACCUACUAAUACAGGAAAAUAAGAACAACAGGGUAUUAUUUACCCACAAAUAACAACAGGGUAUGCUCAAAAUGUCGUCUUAAUUUGACAGGGCUUAGAGAUUGAAAUGCAGAAAGCUGUAAUGGGGAAAGAGUGAAGAGCUCAGUCUGAUAAAGAACACAGCGAACAGAGAGACAAGCAGGGAGCUGAGACUAGUGCAGUAUUAGUUGGAGGAAUCAGAUGAAAACACCAAGAAACAAACAGAAGAGGAAAGGAUCAGUU
rnacentral:lncRNA from 1 species